rnacentral:rRNA from 1 species
GACGAACGCUGGCGGCGUGCUUAACACAUGCAAGUCGAACGGAAAGGCCCUGCUUUUGUGGGGUGCUCGAGUGGCGAACGGGUGAGUAACACGUGAGUAACCUGCCCUUGACUUUGGGAUAACUUCAGGAAACUGGGGCUAAUACCGGAUAGGAGCUCCUGCUGCAUGGUGGGGGUUGGAAAGUUUCGGCGGUUGGGGAUGGACUCGCGGCUUAUCAGCUGGUUGGUGGGGUAGUGGCUUACCAAGGCUUUGACGGGUAGCCGGCCUGAGAGGGUGACCGGCCACAUGGGGACUGCGAUACGCCCCAGACUCCUACGGGAGGCAGCAGUGGGGAAUAUUGCACAAUGGGCGGAAGCCUGAUGCAGCAGCGCCGCGUGCGGGAUGACGGCCUUCGGGUUGUAAACCGCUUUCGCCUGUGACGAAGCGUGAGUGACGGUAAUGGGUAAAGAAGCACCGGCUAACUACGUG